UUGAGACCAUUCAUCGCUGGGCUCGGUACUGGCGCUAACCCCGGAAAUAGUCUAGGUUUUACCCACGCUUUGGUAAAUAGUUAGGUAAGAUUUAGAUGUUGCAUGAUUGUGAUUCUAAGGAUUAUUAUUAUUAUUUAACACUUUUCCUUCUAUUUUUCUCAUGUUUCGGACUGGAAGUCAGUUUCAGGGAUGAAAGACACGCUUGACCAAAUAAAGUAUGCUGGUAGAUGGAGACGAAACCAAAGCUGUUAACAACUGUGUAUAAAACUUUUCAGUGAAUAUAAAUUUUUAGAUCUAUCAAAUGUCACAGAAGAAGAAACAAUCAACAUAAUGUAUAAACUAUUGUCAUCAUUAUCAUUUGUCCACUUGUUCAUAUCUGUAGCUAUCUGAAAAUAGAUAUUCAUAGUGCUCUAUUACUCCUUUUCUUUGAAGCUUGACGUCUCACCAAAUUUAAACGCUUGGAUUUGUAUUGUAGCACACUGACUCCAACUGCAUACAUUUCCAACUAGUUUGAAAUUAAUGCUUAAUUGUUAUUGUUUGUAUGUCCAGACGAAGAAAAUGUACUUACUUUUUUUCUUUUUU
rnacentral:misc_RNA from 1 species